CCUACGGGUGGCAGCAGUGGGGAAUAUUGGACAAUGGGCGAAAGCCUGAUCCAGCCAUGCCGCGUGUGUGAAGAAGGCCUUCGGGUUGUAAAGCACUUUCAGUGGGGAAGAAAGCCUUGGGGCUAAUACCCUCGAGGAAGGACAUCACCCACAGAAGAAGCACCGGCUAACUCCGUGCCAGCAGCCGCGGUAAUACGGAGGGUGCGAGCGUUAAUCGGAAUUACUGGGCGUAAAGCGCGCGUAGGCGGUCUGUUAAGCCGGUUGUGAAAGCCCCGGGCUCAACCUGGGAACGGCAUCCGGAACUGUCAGGCUAGAGUGCAGGAGAGGAAGGUAGAAUUCCCGGUGUAGCGGUGAAAUGCGUAGAGAUCGGGAGGAAUACCAGUGGCGAAGGCGGCCUUCUGGACUGACACUGACGCUGAGGUGCGAAAGCGUGGGUAGCAAACAGGAUUAGAUACCCCUGUAGUC
rnacentral:rRNA from 1 species